rnacentral:rRNA from 1 species
UACGCAGGGGGCUAGCGUUGCUCGGAAUCACUGGGCGUAAAGCGCACGUAGGCGGCUUUUUAAGUCAGGGGUGAAAUCCUGGAGCUCAACUCCAGAACUGCCUUUGAUACUGAGAAGCUUGAGUCCGGGAGAGGUGAGUGGAACUGCGAGUGUAGAGGUGAAAUUCGUAGAUAUUCGCAAGAACACCAGUGGCGAAGGCGGCUUACUGGUCCGGUUCUGACGCUGAGGCGCGAAAGCGUGGGGAGCAAACAGG